rfam:Neotoma lepida isolate 417 scaffold_783, whole genome shotgun sequence.
AUUGCUUCCUGGCCUUUUAGCUAAGAUCAAGUAUAGUGUCUGGUUUAAUAAGUUUAAUGUCUUAGCCUCUCUUUGAGGACUGUAUAAAUGGGUUUUUGGAGCAGGGAGAUGGAAUGGAGGCUUGCUCCAUCAACUCAACUCUGCAUACUACCUAUUGCAGUUCCUCCGGGAAUGGUGCACCCCUU